GAAAAGCAGAAGAGAGAGGCCUGAGGAAGACCCAGAGUGAGGAGCCAGAACCCACUGGGGGCAAGAUUCCCCACCACAGUACCUGCCACGGAAGAGUCAGACACGAGGUGGUGGAUCUGGCAGUGACCCCGGCUCUCGUGGGCUAGCCCGGCAACGUAUUCGUGACCAUGGUAUUCGUGACUGUGACCAGUUGGUUUCCUUGGGGAAAACCCUUCCUGUUCCCCGUGGAGUAGGGGCCUCUCCAAGCUCAACUUCCGUUGGACCAGCAAGAGCUCCCGGUGCGUCCUGUCCCACCUGCCCUGUUGGGAAGAGCUCUCAGGGCCCAGCCCCUCUCCACCGCUUCCCGACGUCCCACCAGAGCGUGGACGAGAGCUGCUGCGUCCCCACGGAAGGCACCCCCGAGGUGGGUGCUGUGUAAGCCCAGGUCCUCAGCACAUCCGGAGGCUGAACCAACCAGCAAGAGCCCGAGAGCAGCGAGGCCAGAAGGAACCUGUGACUUGACCUGAUUCCCUCGUCACCCACGGCAACGACUUGCCCGAGGUCACCCAGCUCGUUCGCAGCGAAGCCACCCGGUUCUGAACUUUGAUUCCGUCAGCGUUUCUCAGACUUGACCCUGCACACACGUCUUGCUAAAACGCGGACUCAGCAGGUCUGCCCCGGGGGCCUGAGAUUCUGCAUUUCCAACAAGCUCCCAGGAGCUGGUAGUGCUGAUAGUGCACAGACCACAAGGAGCUGCGAGGGUUGAGGUCAAGGUUAAUGGGCUGCCCCACCCUGGUGAAAGCGUCUCCGCCCACCCGCCCCGUGACUGCUCAGAUGCCCUUUCUGCAGAAGGGCCUCCCUGCCUCUUCCUCCUCGACUAUCAGCUCCCAUGGCCUCUGCACUCCUUCCUUUGAAGCACUGGCAACAACUGUAAUUAAAGAGCAUUUGUGUAAUUAUUAGUUUAAUGCCUGUCUCCCAGGGAGACUGCAAGCUCCACGCGGGCGGGACUGGCUCAGCGACUGGGCAAUCUCACACACUGUUGACGAAAGGGUGGCUGCCAGGGUCUGGAAUGGCCUGGGCCAGCACCCUGCAGGAGGUGGGCGUGGUUUACACGUGAGGAAAACAACUUCUGUUGGCCUCAAGGACAACAGGGACAUACCAGCUUUAAAAUUCCCACCAGUUUCAGCCCUGGCUGGUGUGGCUCAGUGGACUGUGUGCAGGCCUGUGAACCAAAGGGACGCUGGUUCA